UUUUUUUGUUUGUUUGUUUGUUUUAGAAGAUUGAGUCCAUGGUCGGCUGGCUCUGGGUCAGGAAGGACAUGGUGGAAGGGUCUGGUGGAGGAGAGCUGCUCACCUCAUGGCACCAGGAAGCAAGAAGGGACGUUCCAAGAGGCAGACGCACCUUUCCAGGCCACGCCCCAGGUGACGCCUCCCACCAAGCCCCACCUCCUACCGGCAAGUCAGCUACCAUGCCCUCAGAUCCAAGCAAUCACACACAUGAGAACUCGGGGGACAUUUUAGGUCCAAAUCAUAACAGUGGCCGAUCGUCACUACAGAGCGAGACCAAAGAGCAAGACUUCUGCUUUUGCCUUUUUAGCAGCAGAGAUCAUGGCAAUGCUGAAAAGUUGAGUUCUUCUCUGCAGCCAGCCACUGAGCCUCAAGCCUUCUAUUUCUGCACCAGGGCCCACCAGACUGCAGAGAUGUCAAGGAAGCUUCAUGGGGAGACCCUUGGGUGUUCCCUGCUGGCUAGGUAUGUCCUGGAGUGACAGUUAUCUUCUAAUUUAACCAGAAUGAAUCUGAGGAAAAUCCCACAGCAUGAGCACUAAUAGUAAAAAUAAUAGCACCUCACAGGUGGGUAAAGCUCUUAACUUACAAACAGGCUUACAUAUCUGCUAGUUCCAAUGACUUCUGCAAGGAAGAUAAGAAGGCCUUGAAAUUGCUGCCAUACUUUUG
rnacentral:lncRNA from 1 species